GCAUGUCACAAAGUUAGGUCAUAAAGGACAUCAUGGUUUCCAUGUUGCUGGCUUCCCCUUGGAUCAUUUUCUCAGGAGGAAACCAACUGUGUGUUGUGAGAAGAUUUAAGCCAUCCAGGGAGAGGUCCACAUGCAGCCACCUGAGGGCCAAACUGAUGCUCAGGGAGAUGGAGUAGCUUCGUCCAUCACAGAUAAAGAUGACAGAAUUCAAAUGCGAACUCGCCCCGUCCGGUUGAAGUGUAGUGAGAGCUGACUGUGUGAACUGAAUAAUGCUUGUGCUGUGCAGAAUGGAGAAGAAAAGCAAAGUUUUGUUCACCUGGGAACAGUUUUUUAAAAAUACAUUGAUACCUAACUUAAAUAAUUGAAUCCAUAUCAUAAACAUACAAAUUACACCAUUUAAAAUAUACUUACUACAAAAAGAUCCCAAACAUUUUUGGUUAAUGCAAAUAAAAUUUCUUCACAUUA